AAACGAACUUCUCCUGCAUAGAAUAAACCAAUGAAAGUUGAAGAAGAAUUUACUCUGACUUCGUCUCUGAGUCAGUUAUCGUGUGUACAUAAGGCCAUCGUUAUCACGGUCUUCAAAGACCGUUUCUUAGUUUUAUUAACAUUUAAGAAAAAAGGAAAUUAGCUUAAAAUGCAAAAGAAUGUUUCUUAUUUAGGGAUAAUAAGAGACGGUUUUGUGAGACACGUGUUGUCCUUUGGGCCUUGUCUCUUUGAGAAGAGAGAGAGAGAGAGUUGAAGAUCGAUGGCUGAAGGUGCGAUGAUCCCCAGCAACUGAAGAAGAGAAGCCAGAGCUUGAGGCGGAGGCUACUUCUCUGGACCCUUUCUUCGAUGCCUAUCAUCAGGCAGAAGCUGAAUCCUGGCCUCCAACGUCACGAGAUGUCUCUCCUCCGCCUCUUCGAGACUGUCUCCAAUGACUGCGUCACACUUGCCCUCAUCCAGCGGAGGACUUCAGUGCUAGUUAACUUACUGAAACACUUAAUGGGUUUAUACAGGAUGAGCUGCGUGAUGUUGUUAUGCUCGUGUUUGCUAACAAACAGGAUCUUCCAAAUGCCAUGAACGAAGCUGAGAUCACCGAUAAGCUUGGUCUCCACUCUCUCCGUCAGCGUCACUGGCUCAAUCUUCGUUUUGAUUUGUUCUCUUGCUUAUAACGUUUCUCUGAUCAAUUUGUUUCUCUUGCUUAUAACGUUUCUCUUGCCAAACCGCAAUUUGUUUAAUUUAUUUUCUUCUUAUAUGUGUGCAAGUUGUAAUACUUUCUUAUGUGUUCUUGUUGCUUGAUUCUUGCAGGCGUAGAGGAAAAGAUUGUGGUUGAGCUGAUUUUGCUGGGCAAAUCUGGAUGCAGGGGCAAACAUUAUCUGAUUUUUUUCUUUAUUGUUCUGUUCUUUUUUUUUGGUUUCGGGUAUGUGGAUUUGAUUUUGUGAUCGUUGUUCUGAUUGUGCAAGGAGGAGUCUCUUGCACCUAGAACAUAGAAAUUACCUUUUUAUAUAGUUUGUAGUCAAAGAUUUACUCUACUUAUUUCUGCUUCACGUUUCAUUGUUGA